UUGAAAUUUGCGGAUUCUUUGGCUUCUUCUGAUGACCAUCUUCCUUGGAACAUGGUGGAACCUAAGUGAGCUCCCCAGCCUGUGCUUGAGGCGUUUGUAGUGACUACCAACCAAUCCCUUGAUUGAAAAGACAAUCCUCCUGAAAGGCAUUCUGCCGUUUUCCACCAAGCUAGCUGAUUUUUUACAUGAGAUGAUAGCUUGAAG